rnacentral:rRNA from 1 species
ACGUACACUCCUGCGGGAGGCAGCAGUGGGGAAUUUUGGACAAUGGGCGAAAGCCUGAUCCAGCCAUGCCGCGUGCAGGAUGAAGGCCUUCGGGUUGUAAACUGCUUUUGUACGGAACGAAACGGCCUUUUCUAAUAAAGAGGGCUAAUGACGGUACCGUAAGAAUAAGCACCGGCUAACUACGUGCCAGCAGCCGCGGUAAUACGUAGGGUGCAAGCGUUAAUCGGAAUUACUGGGCGUAAAGCGUGCGCAGGCGGUUAUGUAAGACAGUUGUGAAAUCCCCGGGCUCAACCUGGGAACUGCAUCUGUGACUGCAUAGCUAGAGUACGGUAGAGGGGGAUGGAAUUCCGCGUGUAGCAGUGAAAUGCGUAGAUAUGCGGAGGAACACCGAUGGCGAAGGCAAUCCCCUGGACCUGUACUGACGCUCAUGCACGAAAGCGUGGGGAGCAAACAGGAUUAGAAACCCGAGUAGUCCCAUGA